rnacentral:rRNA from 1 species
ACGGUACUUGAGGAAUCAGCCUCGGCUAACUCCGUGCCAGCAGCCGCGGUAAUACGGGGGAGGCAAGCGUUAUCCGGAAUUAUUGGGCGUAAAGCGUCCGCAGGUGGUCAGCCAAGUCUGCCGUCAAAUCAGGUUGCUUAACGACAUAAAGGCGGUGGAAACUGGCAGACUAGAGAGCAGUAGGGGUCAGACAGGAAUUCCCAGUGUAGCGGUGAAAUGCGUA